GACGAACGCUGGCGGCGUGCUUAACACAUGCAAGUCGAACGGGCCUGUCUUCUUUUUUGGGGGGUGGGUUGAGUGGCGAACGGGUGAGUAUCACGUGAGUAACCUGCCCUUCGGUCCUGGAUAACCGCUUGAAAGGGCGGCUAAUACGGGUUGGUCCGGUUGGUCCGCAUGGGCUGGUCGGGAUAGAUUCACUGUUUUUGGUGUUUCGGCGGGGGUUGGGCUCGCGGCCUAUCAGCUUGUUGGUGGGGUGAUGGCCUACCAAGGCGGUGACGGGUAGCCGGCCUGAGAGGGUGGGCGGCCAGACUGGGGCUGAGGUACGGCCCAGACUGGGGCGGGGGGCAGGAGUGGGGGGGAUUGCAGAAGGGGCGGAAGCCUGAUGCAGCGACGUCGGGUGAGGGAUGGAGGCGUUCGGGUUGUGAACCUCUGUUUCCGGUGGUGAAGGCCCUGUCCGUGUGGUGGGGUCGACGGUAGCCGGGGAUGAAGCGCCGGCUAACUACGUG
rnacentral:rRNA from 1 species